rnacentral:snoRNA from 1 species
UCCAGCUGUAGGCAGCUGCCUAGGUUGUCUUGUACCUAGGCAAGUGUUACACUGCUGGGAGAAUAGCAGCCAAUAGCUGGUUGGCAUUCUGGCCCUGGUUCAUGCCAACUCU